rnacentral:rRNA from 1 species
AGCGAACGCUGGCGGCAGGCCUAACACAUGCAAGUCGAACGGAUCCUUCGGGAUUAGUGGCGGACGGGUGAGUAACACGUGGGAACGUGCCCUUUGGUUCGGAACAACUCAGGGAAACUUGAGCUAAUACCGGAUGUGCCCUUCGGGGGAAAGAUUUAUCGCCAUUGGAGCGGCCCGCGCCUGAUUGGCUAGUUGGUGAGGUAAAGGCUCACCAAGGCGACGAUCAGUAGCUGGUCUGAGAGGAUGAUCAGCCACAUUGGGACUGAGACACGGCCCAAACUCCUACGGGAGGCAGCAGUGGGGAAUCUUGCGCAAUGGGCGAAAGCCUGACGCAGCCAUGCGCGUGAAUGAUGAAGGUCUUAGGAUUGUAAAAUUCUUUCACCGGGGACGAUAAUGACGGUACCCGGAGAAGAAGCCCCGGCUAACUUCGUGCCAGCCGCCGCCGUAA